rnacentral:rRNA from 1 species
AUGGCAGAAGGUCUGAUACUUGUCGUGCUUUCGAAAAUCGGAGCUACCUUUGGAGGAGUUGCACUGAAUGCAAUUAGGUUGAAAUUGGGGAAGGAAGGCAACAUUUUACUUGAAACAGAAAACAGGAUGAAACAAAUUGAGAUUGAAUUUGAGAUCAUGCAGGCCUUCAUAAGUCAAGUAGAUCCAUAUAGUGAAAAUAACCAAAUUCUCAAAGCAUGGCUGAAGCACAUAAGGAAGAUUGCCUCUGAAGUUGAGGAUAUCAUCGACGAAUAUUCAUUUCUCCUUGGAAAAAUGGACAAUGCAGAAGGUCUUCUGAAUAAGGCACUCCAUCGAUCAAGGAGGGUGAAGGCAUGGAAAGAUAUUUCUGCUCAGCUCAAACAAGUACAAGAAAGACUUCAAAAUCUAUCAACUGUGAAAGAAAGAUACGGCAUAACAGUAGCUGCUGGACUUGGGGGUGGAUCUUCACGCCACAAUGUUACUCGUAAGAUGUACAUGUCUGAUUCUUCCUACUUAAAUGAUAAUGACAAUGAAGAAAUCAUAGGAAAUGAAGAUGAAGCAAAAAAGUUGACACAAUGCAUAGAUGAUGAUGGUUUGGAUCGUACAAUUAUCUCCGUCUGUGGAAUGGGUGGUUCCGGCAAAACAACUCUUGUAAGCAGCAUCUAUAGGAAACAAAAAAUCAGAAAAAACUUCAAUUGCUAUGCUUGGAUCACGGUAUCACCAAAUUAUCCCGUUGAAGAUCUUCUAAGUAAACUGAUCAACCAACUUUGUAUCCCUGAUGAGCUAGCUGGUACAACUGAUCCAACAGAUUUGGUGGAUAAAAUCCACAGUUACCUCGGGAACAAGAGAUACCUUGUUGUCUUGGAUGACAUGUGGAAUAGAGAUUCUUGGUUAUUCCUUGAACGAGCAUUUGUCAAGAAUAAGUGCAGAAGUAGAGUCAUCAUUACUACUCGCACAGAAGCUGUUGCAUCAUUUGCAGAGGAUAACCAGACUAUCAGAAUUGGUCUUCUUCCACAGAGAGAAUCAUGGGACCUUUUCAGCAGAAAAGCAUUCUCAAGGCAAAACAGGGCAACAUCGGGAUGCCCUCAAGGUCUUGUUCCCUGGGCAGAAAAAAUUCUGGAGAGAUGCCAAGGCUUGCCCCUCGCUAUAGUAGCUAUAGGGAGUCUCCUAUCUUACAGAGAUAUGGAGGAACAUGAGUGGAAACUAUUCUACAAUCAACUGAAUUGGCAACUAACAAAUAAUCCAGAGCUGAACUGGGUUUCAAGUUUCCUGAAGCUAAGCUUGGAUGAUCUUCCAAGCCACUUGAGGAACUGUUUCUUGUACUGUGGGUUAUUCCCCGAAAAUUACCCAAUACGACGGAAAUGGAUAAUCAGAUUGUGGGUAGCUGAAGGUUUCGUCGAGGAUCGCGGAACAGAGACGACUCUGGAGGAAGUCGCCGAGGAUUACCUCAAAGAACUUGCUCAGCGCUCACUGAUUCAAGUGACGGAAAGGAAUGAGUACGGAAGGCCAAAAAGAUUUCAGGUGCAUGAUCUUGUGAGAGAAAUGACGCUGACCAUAUCAAGAAAAGAGAGGUUCGCUCUUAUCUGUAAUAACCCAGACGUGACAGACGGCGGCGACGAAGCAAGCCGUGUAUCAGUGCAUUGCGGAGGCCAGGUCUUUCAGCCAGGCCCAGCUUCACAACAUCUGCGCUCGUUUUUGUUGUUCGACAGGCAUGUGCCGGUUCCAUGGAUCUGCGCUGCUUCAUCGAAUUUCAGGCUGCUAAGGGUGUUGUGCCUCAGAUACUCCCUCCUCGAGCACAUCCCAGAUGCCAUUACAACUGGUCUGUUCAAUCUGCACUACCUUGAUUUCUCGCGUACGAAAGUGAAGACGAUACCAAGAUCAAUAGCGAGGCUCAAGAAACUGCAGUCGUUGCACCUCCGGUUUGCUCGUGUGAUGGAGCUGCCACGUGAAAUAGCGAUGCUCUCAAGCCUCCGGCACUUGUCUGUGAGCAACGAUUUGUACGGCACAUCAGUCACUGGUAGCAUCUGCAAGCUCAAGCACUUGCAAACUCUCCGAGAGGUGAAGGCCAACAAAGAUUUGGUUCAGAAUCUGGGGUGCCUGACGCAGCUAAGAAGCCUGGGCAUCACGGCAGUCCUUCCAGGCCAUGGCGUGGACCUGUGGACUUCGAUCGGAAAGAUGACCGUCCUGACGAAACUGGCAGUCGGAACUCGCGGCGAAAACGACGAAGUCCACAGUUUGGACAAGUUCAAGCCGCUCAGAAACCUGGAGAAGUUUUACCUGACGGGCAAGCUGGAGAAAGGGGUGCUUUUUCCGGAGUCCGAGGGGUUUGACAGGCUCAAGGUCCUGACAAUGCGCUGGUCCGGGCUGGCGCAGGACCCGCUCAAAUCCUUGUCUGAAAUGGGGAACCUAGUUUACCUCAACCUCUAUUGUGCGUAUGACGGGGAGUCCCUGGCGUUCUGUUCUGGAUGGUUUCCCAAGCUAAAGCGGCUGUUCCUAGGGAAGCUGGACAAUCUGAGUUCAGUUGAGAUAAGCGAUGGCUCCAUGACCAACUUGACAUACCUAGAACUUCGUGAGCUCUGGAGACUGGAAGCCGUGCCUGAAGGCCUCGGGUACCUUAGGUCGCUUCAGCACCUGUAUGCGCGGAACAUGCCGAGGGACUUCGCCGCGCAGCUGGAAGGAGGCCGCAAGGGAUCUGUUCAGCAUAUUGCCAACAUCGAA